rnacentral:rRNA from 1 species
UAUAGCUUAGUGGCGGACGGGUGAGUAACGCGUGAGCAACCUGCCUUUCAGAGGGGGAUAACGUUUGGAAACGAACGCUAAUACCGCAUAAGACCACACUUCCACAUGGGAGAGGGGUCAAAGGAGCAAUCCGCUGAAAGAUGGGCUCGCGUCCGAUUAGAUAGUUGGGGGGGUAACGGCCCACCAAGUCGACGAUCGGUAGCCGGACUGAGAGGUUGAACGGCCACAUUGGGACUGAGACACGGCCCAGACUCCUACGGGAGGCAGCAG